rnacentral:lncRNA from 10 species
AAUGAAACACAUGCCACAGGUGAAAGCUCCAAAGGCCAAGAAGGAAGACAGACUUCAAGAGUUAUUUGAGAAGCUCUGCUCCAAUGGAGAUGAUUUUUGAGGAACGUGAUUGUUUAUUCUUGCUCUUGUACAGAGGCAUCUUCUGUCUAAUGCUCCUAAAUUCUCUAAAAAGUAACCUUACUUUGAGGUUAUAGUGAGAGCCAAAGUCCUCUUCAUGGCUUAUAAGAGACUUUAUUAUCUGACUGCCCUUUCAUUGUCUUGG